UUACCCUGUAGUACCGAGCAAGUGGACAAUUUUGAAAAACACUGUUCGCUACUGGGGGUCAAA
rnacentral:pre_miRNA from 1 species